CCUACGGGAGGCAGCAGUGAGGAAUAUUGGUCAAUGGCCGUAAGGCUGAACCAGCCAAGUCGCGUGAAGGAAGAAGGAUCUAUGGUUUGUAAACUUCUUUUAUAGGGGAAUAAAGGUAUCCACGUGUGGAUAUUUGCAUGUACCCUAUGAAUAAGCAUCGGCUAACUCCGUGCCAGCAGCCGCGGUAAUACGGAGGAUGCGAGCGUUAUCCGGAUUUAUUGGGUUUAAAGGGUGCGUAGGUUGUUUUUUAAGUCAGCGGUGAAAGUUUGUGGCUCAACCAUAAAAUUGUAGUUGAAACUGGAAGACUUGAGUGUGUUUGAGGUAGGUGGAAUGCGUGGUGGAGCGGUGAAAUGCAUAGAUAUGACGAAGAACUCCGAUUGCGAAGGCAGCUUACUAAGCCAUAACUGACACUGAAGCACGAAAGCGUGGGGAGCAAACAGGAUUAGAUACCCCGGUAGUC
rnacentral:rRNA from 1 species